rnacentral:rRNA from 1 species
UACGUAGGGUGCGAGCGUUAAUCGGAAUUACUGGGCGUAAAGCGUGCGUAGGCGGUUCGUUAAGUUCGUUGUGAAAGCCCCGGGCUCAACCUGGGAACUGCAAUGGAAACUGGCGGGCUUGAGUGUGGCGAGAGGGGGUGGGAAUUCCGCGUGUAGCAGUGAAAUGCGUAGAGAUGCGGAGGAACACCGAUGGCGAAGGCAGCCCCCUGGGCCAACACUGACGCUCAGGCACGAAAGCGUGGGGAGCAAACAGG